rnacentral:rRNA from 1 species
AGAGUUUGAUCCUGGCUUAGGAUGAACGCUAGCUACAGGCUUAACACAUGCAAGUCGAGGGGUAGCAGGGUAGCAAUACCGCUGACGACCGGCGCACGGGUGAGUAACACGUAUCCAACCUUCCCAUAACUCAGGGAUAGCCUUUCGAAAGAAAGAUUAAUACCUGAUAGUACUUUUUCAAGGCAUCUUGAGAAAGUUAAAGAUUUAUUGGUUAUGGAUGGGGAUGCGUUCCAUUAGAUAGUUGGUGAGGUAACGGCUCACCAAGUCUUCGAUGGAUAGGGGUUCUGAGAGGAAGGUCCCCCACAUUGGUACUGAGACACGGACCAAACUCCUACGGGAGGCAGCAGUGAGGAAUAUUGGUCAAUGGGCGAGAGCCUGAACCAGCCAAGUAGCGUGAAGGAUGAAGGUCCUAUGGAUUGUAAACUUCCUUUAUAGUAGAAUAAAGUGAUCCACGUGUGGAUUUUUGUAUGUAUACUAUGAAUAAGGAUCGGCUAACUCCGUGCCAGCCGCAGC